UACGUAGGGUCCGAGCGUUGUCCGGAAUUAUUGGGCGUAAAGAGCUCGUAGGCGGCCUGUUGCGUCCGCUGUGAAAGCCCGGGGCUUAACCCCGGGUCGCAGUGGAUACGGGCAGGCUAGAGGUAGGUAGGGGAGAAUGGAAUUCCCGGUGUAGCGGUGAAAUGCGCAGAUAUCGGGAGGAACACCGGUGGCGAAGGCGGUUCUCUGGGCCUUACCUGACGCUGAGGAGCGAAAGCGUGGGGAGCGAACAGG
rnacentral:rRNA from 1 species